rnacentral:lncRNA from 1 species
CCCUGCUUUCCAUUCUUUUUGGAAUACACCAAAAGCUGAAUUGCUGCAUUUUGUGUCCUACCAGCAAAAGCUGUUUUAACAGCAGGAAAACUGAAAGCAACAUUGCAACUGGAACAUAGAACCAAGAACUUGCAAUUUGCUCUGUCCCAUUCCCCAUUGCAAUGGGAUGUGUGGCCUGAGAAGAGAAGUUUGACAAUAAAUAAUAUCUCAGGAUGCUGCUGUCAUGAGCUGUGAAAUACACAGACUUUAUGGUCAUAACAGCCUUUAAAGCAAGGACCUUUGUUUAUUCACCGGUUCCCUCACCCUUCCUGAAAUAGAGUGAAUAGAAGGGCCUUUGAGGGGACCUAAAGAAUGUGGUGCAUUCGAUAUGUUUAAUUGCAGAAAAAAUGCUCUCCUGGCUACUCAGAAACUAACAACAUCUAUGCAACAAUAUAACAUGAAAAUGUGUAAGUGCAAUGCCUUAGGCUUCGACUCUGUGUGCAGUGGCAGCUAAUAGUGGAGGGUUUCGGCCAGUGGGGUGAAGCUCUGUGACUUUUCUUCAAAAAGAAUGUUUGCUGUAAGGUCAAGUCAAGAGCCAGGUUAUCAAUUAGGGGGUCAUUGCAGAAGUUGAAGCGCAAGGUGAUGGUGCAUGGGACCACAGCCAUACCACGGCAGGUGGUGGAAAGUACUGGAUUCUCACAGAUGGAUCUUGUACAUGGAAACAAUAUCCUGGACCCCUGUGGAACUGGAGUCUCAAGGUCUGGGGUUGUGACCAGCUAAACACCACGUCUUUGCUUGCAUGAGAAUUAUUCCCAACAUUGGCUCCAGUGUUCCUCUGCCCACAGUCUUGACCUCCCCACUGUCCAGCACCCAAAAAGAUACUUCCUUCCAGUGCUCCAUGAGCAGAGAAAAGACCCUUCUUACCCCUGCUCUCAUCUUAAUCACAGCAUCCUGGCCUCCGUGGCAUUAGGGUCACUGAACCUCGUGUGGGCUGGAGGUCAUGGGGAAAGGUAUAGACCACUCUCUAAUACUGUAUGAAUCCUGAAGUUCAGGAAGGGUCUCAGAUCUGCAUAUGAUAAAUGCGGAUCCCAUUAUUGAAAUGGGUGGGGUCGGGAGGACUUUAUCUUAUGCUACUCAAUCUCUUUUCCUGUCCCUACCCAACAAAGGUGUAUGACAGGUCUAUGGGUGAGAGCAUUCCCAAGUGGCCCAUGUGGAAGUCACAGUUUGAUAGUUAAAAAAUAGAGAUUCUUAUAUGAACUUCCCCCAUGACCUGAAUACUGGUUCUAGGUCUAAGGCUCAGAAAGCAGUACCCCAAAAUCAAAGCCUCAGAAGUUCACCACACCUUAAACUCCUGGCCUCAAGCAAUCCUCCCGCCUCAGCCUCUCAAGUAGUUAGGACUGCAGGUUCAUGCCACAUACCAGGCUAUUUUUUCAAAAUUUUUUGCAGAGAUGGAGUCUUGAAAUGUUACCCAGGCUGGUCUGGAACUCCUGAGCUCAAGGAAUCCUUCUGAAAGAGCCUCAGAAGCAAAACUUUCUCUCUGAGCUUCUUCUGCCUUCCUGUCUCUGAGUCCCAUUCUCCCUGGAGGCACCUUAGAAACUAGAAUCCCUCUUCCCCAUGACGGGUCCUAGAAACCAGAACCCCUUUUCCCCAAAGCCAUAAAACCUAAAAAUCGGACUCUAAAUUUCCCUCUACCUUUCUGUGUAAAAACUGGCCAUACAGAAAUUAUCUGGGUUGGGUGUGGUGGCUCAAAUCUGUAAUUUCAACACUUUGGGAGGCAAAGGCAGGAGGAUUGCUUGAGCCCAGGAGUUUAAGACCAUCCUGGGUAAUACUGCAAGACUCCAUCUCUGCAAAAAUUUUUAAAAAUUAGUCUGGUAUGUUGGCACACACCUGUAGUCAUACCUACUUCAGAGGCUGAGACUGGCAGAUUGCUUGAGUCCAGGAAUUUGAGGCUGUGGUGAACCAUGGAUCAGGCCACUGCACUUCACCCUGGGUGACAGAAUCAGACCCUGCCUCUUGAAAAGAGAAAACAAAAGAAGAAAUGACCUGACCUACUUUGUUUGACUGUAGAUCCUAAGACCCCCUUUCCAGAAAGUUGGUUAUUCAUUGGUCCUCUCACCCUUCCUGAAAUAGAGUGAAUAGAGGGGACUUUGAAGGGACCUAAGGAAUAUGGUGAAUUUUUCCCACACCCAGAAGGAAGAAGCACUGCUCAGAGAGGCCAAGAAGAAUCCAACCCUAUUUCUACAUGGCUGUCCAUACUUUGUUGAACCUAGGCAUAAAAAUGGACGGUUUCCUCUGUAUCUUUGGGUCUUCAUUCUAAAGGCUCUCAUGUCAUAUACAACUGUGAUCAAAUAAAUAUUUAAGCUUUUUCUCCUGUGAAUCUUCCUUUUGUCAGUUGGUUAUCAGCAAACCUUCAGAGGGUGAAGGGGAAGCUUUCCCUUGGCCCAUAUACAGACAAGAAUUUUGAAUGCCUUAUUUAAU